rnacentral:rRNA from 1 species
AUUGAACGCUGGCGGCAUGCUUUACACAUGCAAGUCGAACGGUAACAGGCCGCAAGGUGCUGACGAGUGGCGAACGGGUGAGUAAUGCAUCGGAACGUGCCCAGUCGUGGGGGAUAACGCAGCGAAAGCUGCGCUAAUACCGCAUACGAUCUAUGGAUGAAAGCGGGGGACCGUAAGGCCUCGCGCGAUUGGAGCGGCCGAUGUCAGAUUAGGUAGUUGGUGGGGGAAAGGCUCACCAAGCCAACGAUCUGUAGCUGGUCUGAGAGGACGACCAGCCACACUGGGACUGAGACGCGGCCCAGACUCCUACGGGAGGCAGCAGUGGGGAAUUUUGGACAAUGGGCGCAAGCCUGAUCCAGCAAUGCCGCGUGCAGGAAGAAGGCCUUCGGGUUGUAAACUGCUUUUGUACGGAACGAAACGGUCCUGGUUAAUACCCGGGGCUAAUGACGGUACCGUAAGAAUAAGCACCGGCUAACUACGUGCCAGCCGCCGCAGUAACAC